rnacentral:tRNA from 1 species
AAGGACUUAGGUUAAUAGACCCGGGGCCUUCAAAGCCCCAAGCAGAGGUGAAAACCCUCUAGCCCUUG